CAGCAGCCGCGGGAAUACGUAGGGUGCAAGCGUUAAUCGGAAUUACUGGGCGUAAAGCGUGCGCAGGCGGUUAUAUAAGACAGAUGUGAAAUCCCCGGGCUCAACCUGGGAACUGCAUUUGUGACUGUAUAGCUAGAGUACGGCAGAGGGGGAUGGAAUUCCGCGUGUAGCAGUGAAAUGCGUAGAUAUGCGGAGGAACACCGAUGGCGAAGGCAAUCCCCUGGGCCUGUACUGACGCUCAUGCACGAAAGCGUUGGGAGCAAACAGGAUUAGAUACCCCUGUAGUCCCUGUCUCUUAUAC
rnacentral:rRNA from 1 species